GAGUUUGAUCAUGGCUCAGGAUGAACGCUGGCGGCGUGCUUAACACAUGCAAGUCGAACGAACCUUCGGGUUAGUGGCGGACGGGUGAGUAACGCGUGAGAAUCUGCCCUCAGGAGGGGGACAACAGCUGGAAACGGCUGCUAAUACCCCAUAUGCCGCGAGGUGAAAUGAAUUUCGCCUGAGGAUGAGCUCGCGUCUGAUUAGCUAGUUGGUGUAGGUAAUGGCUCACCAAGGCAUCGAUCAGUAGCUGGUCUGAGAGGAUGAUCAGCCACACUGGGACUGAGACACGGCCCAGACUCCUACGGGAGGCAGCAGUGGGGAAUUUUCCGCAAUGGGCGAAAGCCUGACGGAGCAACGCCGCGUGAGGGAUGAAGGCCUCUGGGCUGUAAACCUCUUUUAUCAAGGAAGAAGAUCUGACGGUACUUGAUGAAUAAGCCACGGCUAAUUCCGUGCCAGCAGCCGCGGUAAUACGGGAGUGGCAAGCGUUAUCCGGAAUUAUUGGGCGUAAAGCGUCCGCAGGCGGCCCUUCAAGUCUGCUGUUAAAAAGUGGAGCUUAACUCCAUCAUGGCAGUGGAAACUGUUGGGCUUGAGUGUGGUAGGGGCAGAGGGAAUUCCCGGUGUAGCGGUGAAAUGCGUAGAUAUCGGGAAGAACACCAGUGGCGAAGGCGCUCUGCUGGGCCAUCACUGACGCUCAUGGACGAAAGCCAGGGGAGCGAAAGGGAUUAGAUACCCCUGUAGUCCUGGCCGUAAACGAUGAACACUAGGUGUCGGGGGAAUCGACCCCCUCGGUGUCGUAGCCAACGCGUUAAGUGUUCCGCCUGGGGAGUACGCACGCAAGUGUGAAACUCAAAGGAAUUGACGGGGGCCCGCACAAGCGGUGGAGUAUGUGGUUUAAUUCGAUGCAACGCGAAGAACCUUACCAGGGUUUGACAUCCUGCGAAUCUCUUGGAAACAGGAGAGUGCCUUCGGGAACGCAGUGACAGGUGGUGCAUGACUGUCGUCAGCUCGUGUCGUGAGAUGUUGGGUUAAGUCCCGCAACGAGCGCAACCCACGUCUUUAGUUGCCAGCAUUUAGUUGGGCACUCUAGAGAGACUGCCGGUGAUAAACCGGAGGAAGGUGUGGAUGACGUCAAGUCAUCAUGCCCCUUACAUCCUGGGCUACACACGUACUACAAUGCUACGGACAAAGGGCAGCAAGUUCGCGAGGACAAGCAAAUCCCAUAAACCGUGGCUCAGUUCAGAUCGUAGGCUGCAACUCGCCUACGUGAAGGCGGAAUCGCUAGUAAUCGCAGGUCAGCAUACUGCGGUGAAUACGU
rnacentral:rRNA from 1 species